CCUGCUUCUGCUCCGCCUCUUCCUUCAAGGCCCCAUCCACUUCUCUGCCUCUUCCUCCCCCAGGCCUUACCCUGAUCCACCUCUUUUCCCCCAAAACCCCGGCCCCGUUGCUUGCUUCUCUCCCUCUGUCGCUGGCUGUCUCGUCUCAAGGAGCCUACCUGCAGGAAGGAGUCAGCCGUGGCUGAAUUGGUGCAGGUAAAUGACCUGUUGCCUCCCUCCACUCUGCAGUAACCAGACUUUUGGUUUGGGUGCCAUUUAGGGUUGCCAGGUCCCCUUGUCAACCAGACUUUCUGGUUGAAAACCAGCCACCUGGCAACCCUAAAUGGCACCUGGGCACAGAAACCAAAAACCAGACUGUCCAAGUAGGGUUGCCACCCAUCCAGUUUCUAACUUACUUAUGAUUUCAGGGGAAUAACUUCAAUGAGCAGUGUGUCAUGUACUUAGCCUCAUGGGUUCCAGUAUAUUCCAGUUGCACAGGCAGGUUUUCUUUAAACCAGUGCAAGACAAUUUGCAGAAAAGAGGCUAUUUUUGAUCUUUUUCUACUGCCUGACAAACACUAGGAAAGCCUAAAAUGUACAGCUGGCAGUAAAACCCUUUUUAUCUUGGUGGAAAUGUGAGUAUUUUCCCUAGAAAAUAGAACCUUAGCUGGUCAACUGUUCCUGCUGCUUAUUCUCAUCCUGCCUAAAAUCCUAAUCCAUUGCCUGUGAUGUCACAGUUGUAAAUGGUGAAGAUUGUCACACUAAGGACUGGAGCUUCAGUUGGGAAAUAAAGAACAGGAGCAGAUGAAUUUCUGUGUGAAUUGUCUAAUGCGAAAAAUUCCCAUUGACUUCAGUGUUAAACAUAUGCAUAGGUGUUUGCAGGAUUUAGGGCCAUAGUGUUCAGAGGGGGAGUCAUAGUGGAAAGAGACUAGUUGGUGAAGGAGCUGUACCAAAAAAUAACAACUCCUCCCUCGCCCCCCAAAAAAUCCCACACAUACCACAGAAAGGCCUUAUUCAGCAGUUUUGUUUCUUUAGCAUUUCACACACGUACACAAUCAGAAACAUUAACUUGGUUAAGUUUAUUGUUACUUAGGUUUUGACACAUACUUAGAAAAGCAAGAUGUUCGUUUAAUAAUAUUAUUAUCCCAAACUGUGCAAGUUUCCCGCAGGCUGUGUAGAAAAUGUGCAUGACCCAGUAGCGUGUGGAAAUAAUGGUUUUCAAAAGGAACAUUUCUCUAAUUGCAAAGGAAAUUAGGUAAGCAGUUUAUUUAGGAGAAGCAGAAGCAAAAGGAAAGCUGUUAGCUUUUUUCCUCUCUUUUUCUCCAGAGGGGCUGUGGUGAUCCUGCAAAACUUGACAAGCAGGGUGUAGCAAGUCCUUCUCUAUUUUCUGGAAAUCCCACCCUCUUUCCACAGCUUAUCUUGAGUUUCUAUUUUGCAUGUUGAUAGUUUUGCAGACUUUUUUUCCCAGCAACCCCUUAUGUACUGUAUUGCAAGUCAGCAUGUUCACCAAAUCCAGCGAGCAGUUCCUUUUCUUUCGGCCUGAUUCACUUACACUAGUGUAGCUUUACUGACUUCUGUUGAGUUACUCCUGAGUUAUGCUGGAAUAAUUGAGAGGUAAAUCAGCCCCCUUAGAUUUGAGUUUCAGGCUGGAGCCAAUAUGUCAAAUAUAAUGUAUUGCCUUAAAAAUGUGUUUUGCACCCAUCAUACAUCCACAACUGAACCAAAGUGGGUCUUCAACACCAUAAGGUGCUUAAAGGAACUUUUUCUUGCUUUUUAUAUACCCAUCAUGUUACAGGCACUUGGAAGCUUGAAUGUCACCAAGGAGUGAUACAGAGGAUCAUGCUAAUAAAGACAAGUGACCAAAUUCAUCCCUGAUGUAAACUAACAAGGAUUCUAGAGUCACAACUUUUCCUGAAGUGCACUGGCUUUGCCUUUGGCUAAUUCUGUGGUAAUAAUCCCUUUAUGGUGAAGGAGUAAUUUUCUUCUUCACCACUGCUGAAUCUGAUGCAUUAAUUUUUCCACCCAAUUUUCCACCACUCUUCAUUUUCCUUCUGGUCUCCCAAUCACUUCCAGUACAUUUCCUCCUACCUUAAAUGACUGAAUUAUUGCUGAACCACAAAGAACCAGUCUAUAAAACUCAAACAGAUACUUAGUCUCCUUACUGUGGUUUGGGGAUGGGAAUCAAAGUAAAGAUCCUUUAUUUAAAAGACUUGUCUUCGUUAAUACUUGUUUUCAGCUGUCCUCAUAAAAUCCAAGUGUUUCCCCUAUUCACAUUUCUAGAAUAUAAGCCAGGAUCAACAAUCCAUCCAAAGGACUUCAAUGCACUGUAAUUGUGACUAGAUCAAGCAAACAGUAGAUGUUAUACUUACAUUGCUUAAGCCUUGUCACAUACUUUACACUGGUGACUUCAAUGGAUUUAUUCCUGAUAGGCACCAGAAUAAGUGAGAUCAGGAUUAGUCUAAUCUUUUUAUUUAUUUUCACAUCAGUAUCUCUGCCUACAUUUUACAUUUACAAAAAGAGAGCAAGACAGAUGUUCCCAAAGCAGAAGUAAUAUUUCUUCUUUGUACCAAUUUUAAUGGGUCCAAAAACCACAUACGUGUGUCACUGAACUUUCACAUGUGUUACAUAAGUCUCUGUAGACUAUGCAAAUAACAUACUAUUUAUGUGUGUUGGUUGUCUGUUCAUAUGAAUUUUGUUUUCUCUGGUCAAGUCACUAGUGUUAUGAAACUAUGUUUUAAAGUAGGACUUUUGCACUGGGGAAAUCUUUCAAAUAUGUCAUGUUAAAUUAGCAGAAAAGGAAAAUAUAUUUAAUUAUUCUCAUUUAACUACUGUAAGUGUGUGUUUCAGUCAAUGAUUUGUUCCUUCUGCUCUUUUUAUUGUAAAGCGGUUAUGUAAAAUGCUGGAGCGUGACACCACAAUAGUUUCCAUAUCCGCACACUGGAAACGCCAUCAGCCAAUCAGAUGCCUCCCUUUAGAAGUAACUUUUAUAUAUUAUAAAUCAAGAUGAGACCAAGCCACACAGUUUGGCUCCAGAUCUGAACUUUCCCAAUAUCUAAGGGCUCUCUGGAUAUGAGCUUCAGUUCAUAGACUGCAUGAAGCCUGCAGCAUGUUUGAUCAAUUUCAACACACAGAGUAAUAUUAUUCACUGUAAACUAAAAACUUCAGGUAAUAGACUGGUUGUUAGAAGUAAGGAAAGUGAAAGAAGGUAUGAGAAAUGAAAACUCCUUCACCUACAGUAAAGUGUCGUGUGUGUGUGUGUCUGUGUGUGUGUGUGUGUGUGUGUGUAAAAAUCUGGGCUCUGUUAGUCCCAAACUGUUUUUCACCAGGUGCCCCACUGUUGCAAAGAAGCAGACCUUUACAAUGUCGUGUCCCCUGGAAUUCUCUGUGCUGGCUGCCCAGCUCUCUCUCUGAAGUACCAGAGCAGUAGCAGCUUGAAACAAGGAUGAAGAGCCAGCACCAUGAACCCAGUCUGCUCUCCACAGAGCCACCAGCAAGUGCCCAAGAGUCUGGGAAUUGCUGGUAUAUCAGAAUUCUAAUAUUCUGGCUGCAGCUCAACAGGAAACUAGAUUUGUAGUCAUUGCAAUUUACAGGUGCUGCCUACUGAAAUUUAAAACUGUAAUGUAAUUUUAUUUGAUAUAAUUUGCAUGUUACAGUAAAUAAGGAAACAAAGCUGUAUGUGUGGUUUACUAUGACUAGCAAAAUCAUAAAUUCACUUGACCAAAUUUGGAUUUGAGGUACCCUAAAGUAUGAACUGUUGUGCACGCUGUCCUGAGUUUUUUCCCCCCUCGUCACGGUGUGCUCACAAAUCACCGCUGUACAAAAUACUUACAAACUCCUUGUUAGAAACAAAAACAGAGCUGCAUUCCCCUUGGUCAUUGUUUAUGCAGAAGGUUUGAAAGGGAUAGUAGGGAUGGAGACUCUGCUGAAAGGUCCAGAAGAGAAAUCAUUGUGACAGUAAAUUAUAAUGGAAAUCAUUUCCAGGGUGCUGUGUUCCUAAUUACCAUGACUUUUCAAGCAGGGAUGAUUGUGUUCUUUAUAGCUAUCCUUGGCAGCGAAAGAGCGGAGCGAGGGCUGGAGUGAAAGAGAUAAAGAAAGUCAAAUACCACUCGGUCAAACUGAUAGUUGUAGGGAGAGGGCACUGAAACAGCAAUUUCAGAGCCAGUUUUCCAGGCUGUCCCUAAGGGCUAGAGUCACAACAGAACAUAGGUGUGGCAAUUCUGAGUGUUACCACACCUAAUUUUUAGGUGCCUAGAAAUCACUGGGAUUCACAAACCUGAGUUGGGUGCAUAGGCUCUGAAAAGUGGUGGUUAGGGCACUUGCCUAGAUUCCUGGUCAAAUCCCUUCCCACUCUCAGGUGGAAGGGAUAUUUGAACUUGAGCGGUCAGUACAGGGUCUCCCAGAUGAGUAGUCUAACGUCAGGCCUAAGGGUUAUGAGGGAGCUCUUCUCCCUUGCCUCGGCUAUUUUGUGUGAACGUGUCUAUAGCGGCCUGAUCUGGUAGGUAAGCGCCGAACUUACUGUGUUGUGCCUUGCAGGGAAGUUAGAUGGAGGAAUACCUAUCUUGCCUCAACUUGUGAAUCACUUUGGGGCUUAGGCAGCUGGACAUGUGGUGUGGAGGCUGCAGUAUUCCUAUGCAGAAGCAAGAGCCUAGGAAACUUUUUUACAGCAAAAGUUGAGAGGGCAGGCAGUUGACAGGGCUGAUAAGCAGAGGUAUUGUGAAAGCCUGUGAAGCCUGAUUUGAGGAUUUAUGCACUUAAAAGUGGCAGGUAGGCACCAAAAUCCUUUUGUGAAGCUAGCCUUAAAUGUGAAGAGCGGGCGUCAGAUGUGGGUGUAUAGGAGGCUUCAAGCUCUCAUUUGUGGUGGCUGGAUCCUGCUGCUCCCUGCAUGCCAUCUUCUUUAUGCGGCAGUAGAGAAGACUGAGGCAUUCCUAAAUUAGGUUGGCUUGUAAGCGCCAAAAACACUUAGCCUAGGAUUGUGCUCCCUUUCCCUUCCCCCUAUAUGCUGGCAGCAAAGGAAGUUGUUAGUGGUUUAGGUACACCCUGUUUAGGCUGUACAAAACUGCAGGAUCAUCCAUCCUCCCCCCACCCCCCCGCAUGACUCAGGCAGGGCCCCUCUCUUGGGAUUUUAUGGCCAAAAUACAUCAGUGCUGUGCCACAAUGAAGAACUGCUCCCUUGCUGCAUUUCACCUGCUAUGUAUAAAGAUCAAGGGUCUGAUUGUCUCCCACUUGUGUUAGGUUGGGUUAACUUUACUGACUUCCAUACACUUACACUAGGGUAGAUGCGAACAGAAAAUCAGGCUGCUCAGCUUCAUGCUCUCUUCCUUGCUCCACUUUGCCCCCACGUAUGUGCACAUUCUCUUACAUGUGCACACAGAGUCACUCAUGCACGAAGGGGUUUAAGCUGUGCAGAAUGUCACUACAGCAACUAAAGACAAGUCUUUUACCAAGCUGUCUCUCUUACAAGAUAGAUCUCACCUUCCAGACAUAAUUUAAUUAAAAAAAAUCAAGCAAAUUUCAUAAAAAUUUGAAAUGUAAAUACAAUGGUCUUAAAGAAAAAGGGGUUUACAAUAUAAAUUCACAGCAAAAAAAUGUGUAAAUACAACAUGUUUAUAUAUCAGAUAUAAAAGGCAGGGGUGGGGUGGGAGGAGAAAUCAGCUGUGGAAAAAAUUCUGAAAAGCAGUUCUUACUAUGUUGCUAUUUACAUCUUUUUAAAAACAGAUAUCAACUUAACUUAAAGCCGUUCACCAUGUUACUCUCUUUGUUUUUUAGGUUAGAGAUAAACCAUGAUAGGCUAGUACACCAGGUCACAGGAGGAGAAAAGGGAGGUUACACUAACAUGGUUAUCUAUGGGCACAAUUUGUUUAGCUGCAGACAGAUGAGCUCCUAGUACAUGGAUCGUUUUUCCCUCCUGUGUUCAUCCCCAUAAAUAAAAUUAUCAAUACAUUUCUUUCCAAACAAAGAGAGGAUGAUUUUUGUGCAAACAAUGGGAAACAAAAGCCCCUCUACAAACAAGGAAUGUUGCUGCUACUGCUGUUAGGCUACUCCUUCUGAUACACUGUAUCUUAUUAAUAAGCUAAAUUAUACAACUGUAUUGUUUAUUGUACAACAUUCACAUACUCUCAUAUAAAUAGGAAAAGCCUAGAGCCAAGAAACACAUCCACUGUGAAAAUUAUCCUAUGAUACAUAACUAUAUAGAGUUAUGUAUGAGCCACACAACCACACACUUGGGUGUGCACGUUGCCAAAACAAGUGACGUAACCCCAACCUAUUUAAAUGCAGAGAAAUCCUCUGAAUCAGAAAUUGUAAAUUUUAUAAUUGAACAUUUCACUCUAAAGGCCAGACUCCACACAUCUCUAGGUGGGUACCAGUCCACUGGAGAUGUGCCUACUUACAACAGUAGUGACUUUGGCCUCUGUUUUGUGGGCUUUAGGAAAGAAAUGCCCUAAAAGGGUGUUUUCCUUAGGGUCUGAGCUGUGUUAAGAAAAGAUUUUUUUGUUCAAAAGCUAAAAUAAUCUGUGUAUAGAUUGUAAUAACACUUUACACUGUGAGAGGGCCAUAAAUAUCAGUAACAGAACCAGCUCCCUGUUUCCAGGAGAUAAGGUACAUUCCUCAGGCUGUCCAGUUAUCUGCUACUGAUGCAAACAGGUCACUGAAGAGACUCUCAGCCAUGACACUGUACCUCCCUGCUCAGAACGGCAGGGAGAACAGCCUGCAAGGAAGGUGUGAGGAUGAAGGACAGAUGAAUUAGGGCCCUGUAACGCAUGAAAAUUAAAAAGAAAUAGAAUAUAAACUAUGAA